UGGUUCAGCAUACCAGUACUAUGAGUUAAACGUGUACAAAUUUGGUUCCAAUGCAUGACCUCUAAACAUCAAAUGUCCAAUGCACUAUUACAUGGCAUCCGCUUAUUAAGUUGGUGCAGUAUUUCCCUUAGACACUCAGCAUUUGAGGGUUGCUAGAUUCUUGUAAGCAAUUUAGAAAGGAAAGGAAACAAUACAAAAGACUGCUAUUCAAUUCAAGAUGCCGCAAGAUGC
rnacentral:lncRNA from 1 species